AACGAACGCUGGCGGCAGGACUAACACAUGAAAGUCGAGAGAUCUAGCAAUAGAGAGCGGCGCACGGGUGAGUAACGCGUAGGAAUCUACCUUGUAGUACGGAACAACAGUUGGAAACGACUGCUAAUACAGUAUACGCCCUGCGGGGGAAAGAAUUUUGAAAUAAGAUGAGCCUGCGUUAGAUUAUCUAGUUGGCGAGGUAAUGGCGCACCAAGGCUCCGAUCUAUAGCUGGUCUGGGGGGAUGAUCAGCCACACUGGGACUGAGACACGGCCCAGACUCCUACGGGAGGCAGCAGUGGGGAAUAUUGGGCAAUGGGCGCAAGCCUGACCCAGCCAUGCCGCGUGAGUGAUGACGGCCUUAGGGUUGUAAAGCUCUUUUAGUGGUGAGGAUGAUGACGGUAACCACAGAAAAAGCCCCGGCUAACUUCGUGCCAGCAGCCGCCGUAA
rnacentral:rRNA from 1 species